UACGAAGGGUGCAAGCGUUACUCGGAAUCACUGGGCGUAAAGCGUGCGUAGGCGGUUGGUUAAGUCUGCUGUGAAAGCCCUGGGCUCAACCUGGGAACUGCAGUGGAUACUGGCCAGCUAGAGUGUGAUAGAGGAUGGUGGAAUUCCCGGUGUAGCGGUGAAAUGCGUAGAGAUCGGGAGGAACACCAGUGGCGAAGGCGGCCAUCUGGAUCAACACUGACGCUGAGGCACGAAAGCGUGGGGAGCAAACAGGG
rnacentral:rRNA from 1 species